rnacentral:rRNA from 1 species
UACGAGGGGGGCGAGCGUUUGUUCGGAAUUAUUGGGCGUAAAGGGUGCGUAGGCGGUUCGUUAUGUCGGAUGUGAAAGCCCUUGGCUUAACCGAGGAAGUGCAUCCGAAACUGGCGAGCUAGAGUACUAAAGAGGAUCGCGGAAUUCCCGGUGUAGAGGUGAAAUUCGUAGAUAUCGGGAGGAACACCGGUGGCGAAGGCGGCGAUCUGGGUAGAUACUGACGCUGAGGUGCGAAAGCGUGGGGAGCAAACAGG